AGGGUCCAUUUGUCUGUAAGGGAGCACACUGUUGUAGUUACUAAUUGUCUGGUAUCUUCCAAGGGAUUCCGUGUCUUUGAGGGGUUGAUACUGGGUCCAAUCUUGUUCAAUAUCUUCAACAAUCACCUGGAUGAAGUGAUAGAGUCCACCCUCAGCAAGUUUGCUGAUGAUAGAAAGCUGGGAGGAGUGGCUGACACACCAGAAGGCUGUGCUGCCAUUCAUCGAGACCUGGAUAGACUGGAGAGGUGACCCUAAUGAGGUUCAACAAGAGGAGGUCCUGCACCUGGGGAGGAAUAAGCAUAUGCAUCAGUACAGGACCAUUCAUUAAUGUGUUGAACCAUGCAGAUCAAAGCAUGGAUGCCAUGGAUGACCUUCUCCAUUUUGAAAACUGAUCACAUUUUCUGGUACUGGGAGUUGCCUUUGUAUUGGCAAGGGAGUCGCAAGAGCUCAGGUCUCUGGGAGGUGGCACGCCAUGAAGCUCAGCAAGCCUUGCUCUUUCUUCUACUAGGGUGGAGGUAUCAUUCAUCACUUCUCAUUGAUUAAAGGCUGGAUACAUUUCAAAGAGCAAGAUGUCUUAUAGGAAAAAUAUUUUCAACGUUAUUUUUUGGAACCAGUAGUCUUUUUUGAAAUAUGUUACCACCAAUGCAGCCCCAUGUUGCUAAGUCCUUCUUUGCUUAUUUUUAGUAUAUCAGAGUAAAUCUGAUUCAUCGAGAUGUCAAGACUUACUUCAAAAAACAGGAGGCAGCAGAACCAUACAAAGCUAUUAUUCAGCAUUGUUAACAGCAGCUAGAUAUGACACAAGGCAACAGUGAGCUGGCUGCAAUUUUUUUUAUUAUUUGGGAUUAGCAGUUCAGGAUCAUCAUACAGGUAUUGCUUGUUCUCUGAGCACUGAAAAAGAAACUACGUGUGAAGGCAAGAGCUGGGUGACUACUGGUCAUCCAGCAGUCAUGUAUCGUGUAUUUAAGGGGUCUGUUAUAUUCAGUGCUCUUCCUAAAACCCAGCUUGCUUUGUUCAUGUGUUAUUUGCCCAGGCUAAUGCCAUCUUCAGUUCUGGUUGUAUAUAUUGCUCUUUGUUGCUCCCUCUCUUUUCUGUUCCCUUUUAGUUGUGGUGAUUCAGUUCAAGGGUAGCUCUGCUCUAGUGAUAAGAAAUAUACAGAGAUGCUUACGCUUGUAUUUCUGGCAAAAUAAGGGCUCUAAUAAACAGCACGGUACU
ensembl:lncRNA